rnacentral:rRNA from 1 species
UGAGUACGAGCUGCUACGGCAGCGAAGUGGGUGAUGUCAAGCUUCCAAGAAAAGCCCUAUACCCGUUAAGGCAUGACGGCCUGUACCCGAAACCGACACAGGUGGGGUGGUAGAGAAUACCGAGGGGCGCGAGAUAACUCUCUCUAAGGAACUCGGCAAAAUGGCCCCGUAACUUCGGGAGAAGGGGUGCCAUCGCAAGGUGGUCGCAGUGAAGAGGCCCAGGCGACUGUUUACCAAAAACACAGGUCUCCGCUAAGUCGCAAGACGAUGUAUGGGGGCUGACGCCUGCCCAGUGCCGGAAGGUUAAGGAAGCUGGUCAGCGCAAGCGAAGCUAGCGACUGAAGCCCCGGUGAACGGCGGCCGUAACUAUAACGGUCCUAAGGUAGCGAAAUUCCUUGUCGGGUAAGUUCCGACCCGCACGAAAGGCGUAACGAUCUGGGCGCUGUCUCGGAGAGAGGCUCGGCGAAAUAGAAUUGUCUGUGAAGAUGCGGACUACGUGCACCCGGACAGAAAGACCCUAUGAAGCUUUACUGUAGCUUGGUAUUGUGCCCGGGCUCUGAAUGCGCAGGAUAGGUGGGAGGCUUUGAUCCAUGGCUUGCGGGUCAUGGUGAGCCAACGGUGAGAUACCACUCUUUCAGAGCUAGGGUUCUAACAGCCACCCGUUAUCCGGGGGCUGGACAGUAUCAGGUGGGCAGUUUGACUGGGGCGGUCGCCUCCUAAAAGGUAACGGAGGCGCGCAAAGGUUUGCUCAGGCUGGUUGGAAAUCAGCCGACGAGUGCAAAAGCAGAAGCAAGCUUGACUGUGAGACCAACAAGUCGAACAGGGACGAAAGUCGGCUUUAGUGAUCCGACGGUUCUGAGUGGAAGGGCCGUCGCUCAACGGAUAAAAGUUACUCUAAGGAUAACAGGCUGAUCCCCCCCAAGAGUUCACAUCGACGGGGAGGUUUGGCACCUCGAUGUCGGCUCAUCGCAACCUGGGGCUGAAGUCGGUCCCAAGGGUUGGGCUGUUCGCCCAUUAAAGCGGUACGCGAGCUGGGUUCAGAACGUCGUGAGACAGUUCGGUCCAUAUCCGGUGCAUGCGUAAGAACAUUGAGAGGAGUUCUCCCUAGUACGAGAGGACCGGGAGGAACGCACCUCUGGUGUACCAGUUAUCGUGCCAACGGUAAACGCUGGGUAGCCAUGUGCGGAGAGGAUAACCGCUGAAAGCAUCUAAGUGGGAAGCCCACCUCAAGAUGAGUGUUCUCAUGGCUUAAGCCAGUAAGGUCACGGGAAGAACACCCGUUGAUAGGCUCUACGUGGAAGCGCAGCAAUGUGUGAAGCGGAGGAGUACUAAUAGACCGAGGGCUUGACC